UACGAAGGGGGCUAGCGUUGCUCGGAAUCACUGGGCGUAAAGCGCAGGUAGGCGGAUCGUUAAGUCAGGGGUGAAAUCCUGGAGCUCAACUCCAGAACUGCCUUUGAUACUGGCGAUCUUGAGUUCGGGAGAGGUGAGUGGAACUGCGAGUGUAGAGGUGAAAUUCGUAGAUAUUCGCAAGAACACCAGUGGCGAAGGCGGCUCACUGGCCCGAUACUGACGCUGAGGUGCGAAAGCGUGGGGAGCAAACAGG
rnacentral:rRNA from 1 species